UGGCUCAGGAUGAACGCUAGCGACAGGCUUAACACAUGCAAGUCGGUGGGGCAGGCGGGGGUGAAGGCUUGCCUUCACCUGCCGGCGACCGGCGCACGGGUGAGUAACACGUAUGCAACCUGGCCGUGACAGGAGGAUAACCGGUAGAAAUGCCGCCUAAUACUCCAUAAUACUUUGCGGGGACAUCCCCGUGAGGUCAAAAGGAAAGAAUUAUCGGACAAGGAUGGGCAUGCGGGACAUUAGGUAGUUGGGGGUGUAACGGACCACCAAGCCGACGAUGUCUAGGGGUUCUGAGAGGAACGGUCCCCCACACUGGUACUGAGACACGGACCAGACUCCUACGGGAGGCAGCAGUGAGGAAUAUUGGUCAAUGGGCGAGAGCCUGAACCAGCCAAGUCGCGUGAGGGAAGACGGUACUAAGUAUUGUAAACCUUCUUUUGUCAGGGAACAAAGAGACCACGUGUGGUAAGAUGAGUGUACCUGAAGAAAAAGCAUCGGCUAACUCCGUG
rnacentral:rRNA from 1 species